UCUUUUUCUUUUCUUGGCAUAUAGCAAUUUGCUUCCUAGUAGAGGUGCUUGUUACAUACCAGCUGCCAUCCGUGCUGAAAGCCCAUAUGCAGCAGUUAGGUAACACCAUAACGUUGUUUUGGCAAUCUUAACCACUAGGCCAGUGAGCCAUGAGUUCACAUCUCUGGCUAUUUAUCAAACAUACAUAAAAUUAUACAUGUUCCUUUUUUUGGGUUAUUUAAAGGUGGCCUGUCCACCUGAGGAAAGGCCAGUAACUGGUGGUGUUUUCAUUGUGGUCCCUAUAUACUACCAGAACUCUCUGGCUUGCAGUGGCCAAGCAAUCACAACAACAUUGCCUUUCAUCAAUUUAUUUGUAAUUCAUUAUACAAAUUAAGAUCUUACAAUUGGCCGUGCCUCACUUACAGAUAUAUGUACCAUAUCUACUGAUAUAAAAAACACCCUAUUUGAUAAAUGACAAGUGACUUUUUCCUGUCAGGAAGUGGAGUCCUAGUCCAGCUAGUGGCUUAUAAUUGCCUUGAUGCCACAUGCUCCUAACGGAAAUCCCAGAAAUUUUAUAGUAAUGGCAUUUAUUAAUUCCUGAACUUGAUCUUUUAAAUGUUGAUAUUUCUUUACUUUUUCUGCCACAGCAUCCACCAGAGCUGUUGAUUUACUCUCAUAUCUAACUGCGAUGUCAACUACCAAGGUGUGACUUUUCCUUAACAAAUACUAGAUCCAGUUUAUAUAAUUCAUACAGUUCAUCUGGGUUAUGCCAUUCAAACAAAUGUGCACGCCAUUUGGCUCAAGCUGUUGCCUGCAGAUAGUUUGUUAAACUCUAUUCUAUAUGUAUGCUGUUAAUGUGGAAUACACUAAGUAUUUCCAGAAGCUGAGAUCAGCCACGCAAAUUUUAUUUGCAAGGCUAGUUGUAGCCUUCUGAAUCUCAACAGGAUGGCUAAAUAUUCCUGCUGCUGUUAAAACUUCAAAGUGAGUUUUAAUUAAGCUUGUUCAGAAGUUGAAACUGUGCAGUAUGGCUCAACUCACUAAAGAUGAUCACUUGAAUAAAAUAAAAUGCUUUUCCCUA
rnacentral:lncRNA from 1 species